UACACACAUCCUUUGUGAUCGAUAAAAAACGAGUCUAAGCGUCGAAUUACAAGUUGUCAUAUAAAGUUCACUUGGGUUAAUGGGCCUAAUCCAAUUAAACCCAACCAAACCAAACAUGUUUUCUUAGCGUCGUCUGCAAUCUCCCAUCGUCAGCCUGGGGCUGCAACAAUGGGAUUGAUUACAUAAAACAGAUCCAAUGAAGUAUGUGGAUGACGGGUGUGUAGGUGUCUGCUGGGCGACUUCCCAGUACUGAUACCUAAUUGAAGCUCAUUCAGACGGAGGAGAUCGACAACUAAACCUGCUGCUCCUUUUCAGUACCUUGGACAGCGUAGCAAGAACAGCGAGAAGUCACUUUACUGACUGCAUUCCAUCCAACACAGAAAUGUCAAAAUCAGCAGUUAUGCUCCUUACCUCUGUUUACUUUUUUUACAUAUUAUCUUCGACGUCAAACGUGGCUGCAGGAUGGACUGAUGAAAGGUUACCAUCUAAGCAUGAAGCUACCGAGGACACAAGGGAAUUGCUUGGUGUUCUUCACAACGUUCUAGAGAAACUUCAGAACAGGAGAAUGGCUUCAUGGGAAAGAAGACAGAGCCGCCUCCCUAGUUGUAAUGUUGGUGAUUUCUGCACAGCGAAAAAGGGACCACGGUUUGGCCAACUAUGUGACUGUCCAAGAGGGUCAAAGUGCAACCACUUCUUUCUCAAGUGUUUGUGACUGAUGGAAUUUCAUACUGGAUUUGACUAUUUCUGUAUUGAGUUUUGAUUGAUGAUUAAUCUAUCAUGCAAGUGUUCUUUAUAUAAUUUGCCUGUGAAAAGUUUUGAAUUAAUGUUCAUGUUUACUUGAUAAACUGUAGGCAAAUACUUUAUUACGUUUUAAUUACAUGCAACAACAUUAAAUGUUCCGUAGUACUUUAGUACUCAGGUUAAGGAUAUGUUAACAAAGCAUCGGGACUUUAGUAAGAAGAAACAUAAUAGAUUACAUCACAGCCUUAAAUAACUAUAUAUUGUUGUACUGCAUUAACAGCAAGCACUUUGAUCCGAACAGAAAACUUAGACAUGAGAAGGAAUUAUACAGAUGACUGAUAAAUAACACCCUGUUUAAACCCUCAAUAUAAUCAGGUAAGACAGACA